CCUACGGGAGGCAGCAGUGGGGAAUAUUGCACAAUGGGCGCAAGCCUGAUGCAGCGACGCCGCGUGAGGGAUGACGGCCUUCGGGUUGUAAACCUCUUUCAGCACCGACGAAGCGCAAGUGACGGUAGGUGCAGAAGAAGGACCGGCCAACUACGUGCCAGCAGCCGCGGUAAUACGUAGGGUCCGAGCGUUGUCCGGAAUUACUGGGCGUAAAGAGCUCGUAGGUGGUUUGUCGCGUUGUCCGUGAAAUCCCACAACUCAAUUGUGGGUCUGCGGGCGAUACGGGCAGACUGGAGUACUGCAGGGGAGACUGGAAUUCCUGGUGUAGCGGUGGAAUGCGCAGAUAUCAGGAGGAACACCGGUGGCGAAGGCGGGUCUCUGGGCAGUAACUGACGCUGAGGAGCGAAAGCGUGGGGAGCGAACAGGAUUAGAUACCCUGGUAGUCCACGCCGUAAACGGUGGGUACUAGGUGUGGGUUUCCUUCCUUGGGAUCCGUGCCGUAGCUAACGCAUUAAGUACCCCGCCUGGGGAGUACGGCCGCAAGGCUAAAACUCAAAGGAAUUGACGG
rnacentral:rRNA from 1 species